CCCACAGGGCUCGGUCGUUUCCCAAGUCAGAAAUGGACUAGCUGUUGACAAAAAGGCAGCCUAGGGCCAAACACUUACUGUACAUGGUUCCCAGAGUAAGUAAUCCGCAAAAAAUGUGGAGAAUGGACUGAGUUAAUAAUCACUACUUUCUUGUAGCUUUCAGGGGGUUGCUUCAGUCUUGGAGAUCCCAUGUAGAUGGAAGCUUCCCCCUCCGCGUCCCUCCCCUCUUCUGUUUUCUGGGAAACGUUUGUCCCGCCCUCACGCCCACCCUCCAUGUAUCUCAUUAGACUCGAUGUCUUUUCAUCAAUACCUAUGAAUAUAAGCCCUCCAGGGGCAAGUCUUUUCACAAAUGGUCUUAAAAUGUCUCACAACAAUUUAUUUUCUCUCUGUGACAGUAGGGAUUCUUAAAUACUUGUUACAGAAAAUGCAGGAAGUGGGUGGGGGCUUUGGAGAAGGCUGACCCGGAGCGGGUCGCGGGGUCCACGACUCUCCAUGUGUCCUUGGGGGAGCUCGCUGCCCACCACUCCCGCUGCCCUCACCCUGCAACGGGCGGGCACAGUGGCGGUCAAGAGACCGGCUGGCUGUGCAGGGUAACGGGAAGGUGCGCGGGCAGCCCCCAGCGCGGUGACAGCCCGCCCCGGCCAUCAGCCACUCUAUUGUCGCCAAAAAGAACCUAUGCCCAGCAAGCUCACGGUAGGGCUUGCUGUGCGUUUCUGAAAUUAGCCGUCCUCAGGGAAGGUUGACGUUAAUGGCCCCAAAUCCCAAUGGGAUUUGAAGAGCCCACGUUGCCUCUGCCUUUCCGUCACCGGGGGAUGUCACCGGGGUGACCCUCCCUCACCCCCGUUUUGGAAAGAAGCCUGCAGGUCGAAGGCACCAGGGCUGUUCCGAGAGAGCCUGGUUCAUUGUGUGCGGUCACCGCCCUGCGUCAGCUGGGACAGCGCAGGCUGACUUUGUCAGGGACAGCAGCAGUAAAGUUUUCCAUGUGUAGGCUUGAAGCAAAAUGUAAUUAGCCUUUAUGUGCAGAACAAGGACCCAUUGAUGAAUACAGCUGGUCUUUGUUUUGUCCCGUCAUUGAGAGUGGGAGGUAAAAGUGUUCUUCUUCAUGUUUAUUAAUGCGAGGUUCCUUAGACAAAUGGCAAGCACAGUUUAAUAUUUGUCGGAACACAGGGGGGUUUGCCAAAACAGUUGUGUAAGAGGAUUGCAGGGUUGCAGAUUAUAACCGUUUCUGGGUUAAAUAAAUGAAUUAUUUCUCUGCUUUUUUUUUUUUUUUUUUUUUUUUUUUUUAGUUAAAAAGAUCCCUCCUUUCUCAGAGGUGCAGCUCAGCUCACCCCACUUGUGUUAGCAAAUGGAGAUGUAGCACCCUGACCGACUUUGCCUCGGAGAUUGCAGCCAAGCACAGCGUGUGGACUUUAGACAGUUCCCAGGAUGGCCGUGGGGGCGGGCGGGCGGGCUUCGUUUCGGCGCGUGGCAUCUGGCCCCAGAGAGAAGCCUGCCUCGCUUCUGGCUCGCCUGCUGCAGCUGUUCACCUGGGCUGGUGGCUGGGCUGGCACCUCACACCGCAGGAGGGGGUUACCCUCCCAGACUAGCGUCCUGGGCACCAGUGCAGGAAUUCCCUUUUUUUUCUUCCUCUUCUUUUCUCAAGUGCAAGUCCACGGCCACCUACCUCUUUGGUCUGUCCCCCGAAUGCCGGUUGCAAAAGUAGCUUCGGUGCUAACACAUACAGACGGCUUGUUCCAUCCCCUUCAGCUUGGGGUCUGUGACUCUGAGCCUCCGAUGAAAGAAAAUACCUGAUUACACUGAAAUGCUCUAUUUUUUUUUUUUUUUUUUUUUUUAACAGCUAAUGUUAGUCUUAGGAGAAUUUGAACCUACCAAACCUCUCCUGCCAGAAAAAAUGCACAUUUCUUAAGGUUACUCGUGUUCUAUUCCUUUCCUGUGUGCUUCUUUAAAAGAACUACAUUGUAUAUACACAUACUUACCUAGUAUAUUACAAAAGAGACAUUUAUGGGGAACUUCACUUGGGUUGAUAGGAGAGUAUUUUCUUUAUCGCAUGUCUGUAACCAGUGCUUUCUCACAAAACGCAGUGUGCUCUGAGAAAGGAAACCUUCCCAAGUGAGCCUGGCUUAGGGCUUUAUGGAAUGGUUGAGGGGAGCCCGUACCCCGCAUCAUAGAGGUAGGGAAUGCCCAGCAGCGGGGCACAGAGGCCCCGAGAGGCAAUUUGACGAGGGACGGCUCCAGACACGACGCCCAGGUAGGAAGUGCAGAUGGUGUGCCAGUGAGUGGCCGUGGUAUAGACACCUUCCCUGCACACAGAUCGCCCUGGACUCUUUCGCGGUGGUUUUUGCGCACACUCAGAAUCCAGGGCAGUUCACACACUGCCAUGGUGGCCCACAAAGUCCCGUUCUGGUGCUGCCUUCUUAAGAGAGCGCCAGGUGAGAGGUUUCCAGGAGAGUUUCAAGCCUCCGCUCCCCACAAGCCCCACCCUACCGGCCCUUCCAGACUGGUCGCUCUCGUAUUUAUUUUUUUACGUUGCCACGUGAAAAACUUAGAAACCUGGGCCAGGUAGAGCCCAACCGACAAAGCCUGAGAACCACACUAGUAUUUUGAUGAUCCUGCGGGACACAUCUUCAUCCCCCAGUUGCAUUUGCAAAUACCAACUUUAGUGUCUGAACGGACUCUCUCUGCUGUACCUUUAAGAACGGAACAUUUUCUACUUCCUGUCUUUUUGAUGAGUCAUCAAUUUCCAGUACGAGUUGCUGUAAUUAUCCUGGUUAGAUUAAUUUCCCUAAAAACAGGCAGCUUCUUUCAUGGUUUCGUGGGGAUGGGCUUGAAUAAAGAACCCUCCUGUCCCUUCAACCUUAGAGGCAACCAAGUCACACUUGCAGGGAACAGCUGAGGACUUUUUUUUUUUUUUCUGUAGCUUAUCUCCCAAAGAGUAUAAAUGUGCAUUUUGUAGAAUUCCUGGGAUUUUCCAUCCCUGUACAAGUAUUUCACUUCACACCUAAAAUCCGAUGCCUGGGUGAGCCCUAAAAGGCUUUCCUUGGCUUCUGCAGCAACAGCAGCAUCUCUAAAGCAGCACAGCCCAGAUCUGGAGAUUUCCCAGCCCAGGGCGCUGCACGGGAAGGAGGGGGUGGCUUCGUGUUUUCAAAUCCAUGUAGAAUUUCCUCUGAGUGCCAAGGAUUCUUCACCUGUUCCGUGGACUCCAGAUGCAGCUGGAAAUUACGUGGCAGCAGUGAGAACCAGCAAUCUCUACGCCUCCCGCCUUCAGCUAAUCUUCCUAAAGGCCUGUGUUAAAAUGUCAGGCGUUGUGUCACCUACCAGAACGGCAGAGUGAAGGGGGCGGGCGGUUCCAGAUGGGAUCCGCACAUGGGCUCACACGCUGUGCUCUGUACGCUAAAACACGCAUAUAUAUACGGUACAGAGGGCGAUCCCGUAUGUGGUGUGUGUAUAUAACAUGUUUACGGAUGGAGAGAUAGUGAUCAUAUUCAUACAGCAUCCUUGGAGACGGUAUUGUAGGGGAAAAGCAUUAUUCCUCGAUUGUCAUCUGGGUUCGGCGGGCAUUCACAAAAAUUUUGUGCAUUUUUAAAAAAAUUUUUUUUAACGUUUAUUUAUUUUUGAGAAACAGACAGUGCGAGUAGAGAAGGGCAGAGAGAGAGAGAGAGGGAGACACAGAAUCCGAAACAGGCUCCAGGCUCUGAGCCGUCAGCACAGGGCCUGAUGCAGGGCUCGAACCCAUGAACUGUGAGAUCAUGACCUGAGCUGAAGUUGGAAGCUCAACCGACUGAGCCACCCAGGCUCAAAAUGUUGUGUUUUUAGAGACCCUUGAAGUUUUCCUGAUUCUCUAUAAAGGUAAAUCUUGAGGAGCUCACAGUUUGAAACUCAAGGAAACAGGUUUGGGGACCGUUGGAGAAAAUCAUCAAUUUGUGGCCAUCAAGGUGUAUCUAAUGACCUGUAAGAACACCUGUAAGUUGACAAAUGUCAACUGAACUGCCUCCGAAGAGGGACCUCAUCUUCUUUCUUUUUUUCAUUUUUGAGAGUGGGGGAGGGGCAGAGAGAGAGGGAGACCGAGAUUCCAAAGCGGACUCUACACUGUCAGCACAGAGCCUGACGCAGGGCUCGAACUCAUGGAACCGUGAGAUCAUGAUGUGAGCCAAAGUUGGACACUUAACCAAUGGAGCCACGCAGGCGCCCCAACGAUGACCCUCAUCUGCGCGUCAGCACGGUCACAGGUACGUCAUCAAGAGAGAGACUUUGAUCGAUGUACUAAAUCAGCAUGAGCCUUCACCUUGACGACAGGUAGAUGAGGUCUGAGUAGCACAGGGCUUGGACCCUGACCAUGGACAUCAAGGACACUCUGGCAGGACAACCUAAGGGACCUGGUGGCUUCUAGGAAGAGAGAGGGAGCCAUCUAAACCACGAGAGGGCUUCAAGAAGAAGCCUUACAGAGGCCCAGCCUAGAGAACACACGCCAGUUCCUGCCCCUAGUGGAAUUCCUCCGAGGGCCACACAUUUCUGGCUCUCUGCGGGAGGUCUGUGACCACGCGGGUCACCAUGACGCAGCACUUCUCCUCCAGUGCCUCCCCGCUCCCCAGGUGGCAGAGGAGAAUGUGAUCGGAUGCACGCCGACCGGUCGACAGCCCUUUGGAAGGGAAGCAGGAGGGCUGGGAGAGGCGAGAGAUUCUUCUUCCCACGGACUGCCCCCAGAUCGGUGAAGAUCAACCCCUUUUAUAUGACACAAUAUUUGUAAUUACAAAAGUCCUGCCUGUGGAUUAUACCAAAUUUAGAAAAUUUUAAAUGGUUUUAGAAAAUAGAGGUCAUCAGGCGUCAUCUCAUGAUGCAGAGAUAACUUGUUAACGCUUUGGCAUAUUCCUUCCUGUCUUUUUUUCUAGACCGUGGUUUAUUAAUUCUGUUGUCUUUUACAGACGGCAUCAGAUGGAUAGGCACUUUUCACUUCUAGGCUGUUGGUUGUUUGUUUUUUGUUUUACUUGACAUCUAAGUGUUUCUUUUGUGUCAUUAACCAUCCUUCAGAAACUAAAAGCGGGCAGUGCAGUAUUCCAUCAAAUAGGUGUGCCGUGGGAUAGUUCCUCGUUAAUUUCCCUGUUGUUUGUGAGCCUGAUUCAUUACACUGCCCUCCUUGCCUUGCAGGUUAAAACUAGAACACUCCAGACACACUCCAUCUUUCUGUGCCUCUUUAUCCUGCCAGUGGCUGUCGCAUUUUUAGGUGGCUUCCCUGUGGCGUCACCAGACGGGAGAGUCUGGACUCCCAGAAUGCUCCGAGGGCUCCUGUGGCACUGGCCUCGCCACCAGACUGCUGCUCUGUGACACUGACAGACGUCCCGGCCUCCUCUGAACCUGGAUCCCCCAUCCUGUGUGCCAGCUGGGCCCCUGCAGCCUGUUUGUGGAGUGGUCUCCAGGGAAGACACUCUGGGAGCAGGAGGAGGAGAGCCCCGGCCUCGGGCGCUCCGUUUCUGUACCCGGGCCUGAGUUUCCUCACCAGCGGAAUGAAGUAAUGCCCGUAGAAAGUGCCUGCCGCGGUAUCUGCACACGGACCCUCGGCAAACGGGGCUCGCGGUCACCACCACUGUCGCCUACCAGGCCCCUCGCGUCCUGCCUGGCCCGUCGGAAAAAAUGGUGGCCGAGUUCCCCCAGCCUGAGGUCUUUCCCAGCCCUGAAGGGCCCCAUCCUUUAUCUGUGUUGACCUUAUGAGAGUCGGUGUGUCUGUGCCUCUUGGUCCACGUCAGCACGCUGUGGCUGUGGGAGUCAUCGUCCUAAGGGACUCGUAGCCAGUUACCCUGUGGGCGCGGCUAAGGCGGGGGUGAGGGGGGUGGGGUGCAGAAAGCUCCGAGCACAUGCUAUUGCAGAGCUGUUGAUGCCUUAACCUCUGGAGGUUCAUAACCGCCGAGCAGCUCUGCUGAAACCUAAAUGCCACAUGUGCGCAGGCCCACCUCCCGACGCGAGAGCAAGUCGUUCGCGUGUGGUCCCCGCCGGCCGCGCAUCGAGGCGACUCAGACUCCAGGAGACAUCUCAGCCCGUGUGGCUUGGAGAAUUUCGGGGCUCUCUGGGCUGUUGUAAAACAAAUUAAGAGAGGUGCCAAACAUCUGGGCACCAGCAAGGAUGUCUAGGGCUCUGGUUUUGGGAUAUGGUAAAAAAAAAAACAAAAAAAAAAACAAAAAAAAAAACUUUUUGGAACCAGCCUUAAGAAUGAAAAGUUUCCUAUAGGAGAGUAAGCGCGAGCGAGAUAAUUGAACUCAUUGAUUUCCUUCACGGCCUGUUUGCCCUUUCAUUCCCUUCCUGAGGUGCUGUUUGUUGAGGAAUGUCUCCAAUUGCCAGAAAGACAGUGGGGUGUCUCAUAUUUCCCCGUCAGCUCUCCUUUCAGCCAGAGCCGAGUUCCGAGGCGAGCCUGCGAUAUGAAUUUUUAAUGCAGAACUUUAUAGCUUCACUGUUGCAGCCUGGCUGCACUGCUCUCCUGAGCUUUCAGAUUUAAUGCUCUGAUGAACAAGCAAAGACUCAGGGCAUUCAGCAUCAGUGAGGAUUAACCCCAAACGACCGCACGUGCGCCCUCUAAUUUCCCUAAAGGUAAACCUAAAGGAAUCGGGAGGGGGGGCAAAAAGGAAAUGAUGUGGUGUUUGGAAACUUCUCAAGAUAGCCUGGAGCACUAAAGCAGCCUACUCUCAAAAUUUUAUUGGCUAGCCUAUAUUUUUACCUUUUCAUUUAUCUUUUCAACGUUUGUCCUCGCUUUGAUGUACUCGUGCGCUCUUCUCAACCCUUAAGAAAGCUGUACGAUUUUUAGGACUUACCGAGCAGAAAGAUUACUGGACACUCCCGUUUUUCCCUGGGAAGCACAAGUGUAGUUACAAAUCCAGAAUCCGGGGGCACGUGGGUGGCUCAGUCUGUUAAGUGUCCAACCGUUGAUUUCAGCUCUGGUCUUGAUCUCAGGGUUGUGAGUUCAAGCCCUGUGUUGGACUCCACUCUGGGCAUGAAGCCUACUAAAAAAAAAAAAAAAAAGGAAGGAAGGAAUUAACCAUCAAUAAUGGAAAAAGUACCACUUACAUCAAAUGGUCAGUUCUGUGUGUAGGCAUAUGAUUUUUUUUUUUUUUUUUUUUUUUUUGCUGGUAGCUCUGUAUAUUAGUGAAAGUUUUGAAAUUAAGGAUUGGUUUUAGAAAACGCUGUCUGUAAAAGUUGCAUGAGUUUAAAUAAGUUAGAGAAGGGUGGAGUUUUCAGUAGGUGGUGUCAGAAUAAUUGGCCAACUAUGUAAAAGACAAGAGUCAGAGCUGAGCCCCAUCUAGAAUCAAGUCUAGAUGUUUUGAAUAUGUGAGUGUAAAAAAACAUAAAAACACUAGGAGAAACUUUAGAUGGCUACCUAUAUGAUGUGGGGGUGGGAAAAACCUUUCGAAGCGUGAGGCCAAACGUGGAAAUCAGGGAAAUUCACAGCUUUCUGCGAAUUGGUUGAUUGAUAAACUGACAAAAAAUAUUUGCAUUGUCUAUGACAGAUGUCUAUCUAUAUAUAAAGAGUCCUGACGGAGCAAUAAGAAAAAGUUGAGAACCCCAGUAGAGAAAGCUCUAUAUUUUCAGCUCCAUCUCCUUUCCAGACAGUUCUUUCAUGGGCAUCUCAAAUUCAAGUGACCUCACUGUCCGUGACUUCCCUGCAGACAGCUUUUCUUCCCACUUAAGGCAAACAGGGUCCUCCUUUAUUCCAGAGACAGAGGGUCCUUCCUGCCUCUUACCAUCCCUGCUAUCUACGCCAUAUUAAUUCCACCUCCUUGAGACAUUCUGCAUCCCUCCCUUUUCACUAUAAUCAUUUGGCUCUUUUCGUCUCUUGGCCCUGCUACGUUAGUAUCUUCCCAAUGGAUCUCCUUGCUGCCAAUUUCUCCCUGGACUAAUCCAUCCUCCAAGUGUCUGCUGAAAGUAUCUUCCUGAAAUGUAAAUCUUAUCCCGUUAAAAUCUGUCCUCCUUAAAAUCUUUCCAUGGCUCUCUCUUGCCUCUGCUGAAAAAUCAUGACGUAGUGCGCGACAGGCUUCGUGAGUCAGCCCGGCCUUCACCGCCUCAUUUCAUGCCGAAUCUGAUGAUCACUCCCCUCGUAGAAUCUCGGGCCUUUCCAGGCUCACCGUGCUCUGACAUCCCAGCGCAUCGUCACCAGCCUUUCUCCAGAAGCAGAUCCCUGCCCCUCCACAUCCCGUUCCUGUGCCCACACUUACCUGCACCAGCCUCUGCGUGCAUGUUAAGAGGGGAUCUGGUCUCUCGUUCCAGGGAGAGGAUUCCAGGUGGGAGGGGACCGUGAAUUUGGACCCCCCCC